GGGUUGUGAGGUUAAGCGACUAAGCGUACACGGUGGAUGCCCUGGCAGUCAGAGGCGAUGAAGGACGUGCUAAUCUGCGAUAAGCGCCGGUAAGGUGAUAUGAACCGUUAUAACCGGCGAUUUCCGAAUGGGGAAACCCAGUGUGAUUCGUCACACUAUCAUUAACUGAAUCCAUAGGUUAAUGAGGCGAACCGGGGGAACUGAAACAUCUAAGUACCCCGAGGAAAAGAAAUCAACCGAGAUUCCCCCAGUAGCGGCGAGCGAACGGGGAGGAGCCCAGAGCCUGAAUCAGCAUGUGUGUUAGUGGAAGUGUCUGGAAAGGCGCGCGAUACAGGGUGACAGCCCCGUACACAAAAGCGCAUGUGCUGUGAGCUUGAUGAGUAGGGCGGGACACGUGGUAUCCUGUCUGAAUAUGGGGGGACCAUCCUCCAAGGCUAAAUACUCCUGACUGACCGAUAGUGAACCAGUACCGUGAGGGAAAGGCGAAAAGAACCCCGGCGAGGGGAGUGAAAAAGAACCUGAAACCGUGUACGUACAAGCAGUGGGAGCACAGGUUUACCUGUGUGACUGCGUACCUUUUGUAUAAUGGGUCAGCGACUUAUAUUCUGUAGCAAGGUUAACCGUAUAGGGGAGCCGCAGGGAAACCGAGUCUUAAUUGGGCGUUAAGUUGCAGGGUAUAGACCCGAAACCCGGUGAUCUAGCCAUGGGCAGGUUGAAGGUUGGGUAACACUAACUGGAGGACCGAACCGACUAAUGUUGAAAAAUUAGCGGAUGACUUGUGGCUGGGGGUGAAAGGCCAAUCAAACCGGGAGAUAGCUGGUUCUCCCCGAAAGCUAUUUAGGUAGCGCCUCGUGAACUCAUCUCCGGGGGUAGAGCACUGUUUCGGCUAGGGGGUCAUCCCGACUUACCAACCCGAUGCAAACUGCGAAUACCGGAGAAUGUUAUCACGGGAGACACACGGCGGGUGCUAACGUCCGUCGUGAAGAGGGAAACAACCCAGACCGCCAGCUAAGGUCCCAAAGUCAUGGUUAAGUGGGAAACGAUGUGGGAAGGCCCAGACAGCCAGGAUGUUGGCUUAGAAGCAGCCAUCAUUUAAAGAAAGCGUAAUAGCUCACUGGUCGAGUCGGCCUGCGCGGAAGAUGUAACGGGGCUAAACCAUGCACCGAAGCUGCGGCAGCGAACGUAUCACCCAAGACAACUUUACGGAGUUGACGAUUGACGGAGCGAAGCGACGUCAAAGCGUUCAUUAAAGUCGAGUUGGCUUAGGGAUACGUU
rnacentral:rRNA from 1 species